rnacentral:lncRNA from 1 species
AGGCUCUUAACCCUGACUACAUGUUAGAAAAAUCUGAAGACUUUUAAAAAUAAAUUAACACAUGCAAAGUGCUUAGAAUUUUCCCUAGCACAGGGUAACCAGGUAACUGUCAGCUGUCAAUUUUAAUCUGCAUUGGUUAGUAAAAGAAUUCAUUUUUGAAGUACUUCCCAGUGCAUUUUCUCUUUAUGGUAAUUCAGAUUUGUCCUCGACAGGCUUUUCACCAUUAAGACUGUGCCACAAGGCUAAACUAGAGGAGGCAGAGGGGUGAUUUGAGGGAAGUUCUUGCUGGACAG